CCUACGGGGGGCAGCAGUGGGGAAUAUUGCACAAUGGGGGAAACCCUGAUGCAGCGACGCCGCGUGAGUGAAGAAGGCUCUCUGUGUGUAAAGCUCUAUCAGCAGGGAAGAAAAUGACGGUACGUGAUUAAGAAUCCCCGGCUAACUACGUUCCAGCAGCCGCGGUUAUACGGAGGGGGCCAGCGUUAUCCGGAUUUACUGGGUGUAAUGGGAGCGUAGACGGCAGCACAGGUCUGGAGUGAAAUGGCGGGGCUUAACCCCGGAAGUGCUUUGGAAACUGUGGAGCUAGAGUGCAGGAGAGGUAAGUGGAAUUCGUGGUGUAGCGGUGAAAUGCGUAGAUAUUAGGAGGAACACCAGUGGCGAAGGCGGCUUACUGGACUGUAACUGACGUUGAGGCUCGAAAGCGUGGGUAGCGAACAGGAUUAGAUACCCGGGUAGUC
rnacentral:rRNA from 1 species